rnacentral:rRNA from 1 species
AGAACGAACGCUGGCGGCAUGCCUAACACAUGCAAGUCGAACGAGACCUUCGGGUCUAGUGGCGCACGGGUGCGUAACGCGUGGGAAUCUGCCCUUGGGUUCGGAAUAACAGCGAGAAAUUGCUGCUAAUACCGGAUGAUGACGUAAGUCCAAAGAUUUAUCGCCCAAGGAUGAGCCCGCGUAGGAUUAGCUUGUUGGUGAGGUAAGAGCUCACCAAGGCGACGAUCCUUAGCUGGUCUGAGAGGAUGAUCAGCCACACUGGGACUGAGACACGGCCCAGACUCCUACGGGAGGCAGCAGUGGGGAAUAUUGGACAAUGGGCGAAAGCCUGAUCCAGCAAUGCCGCGUGAGUGAUGAAGGCCUUAGGGUUAGUAAAGCUCUUUUACCCGGAUUGAUAAUGACAGUACGGAGAAUAAGCUCCGGACUAACUCCGUGCCAGCAGCCGC